CCUACGGGAGGCAGCAGUGGGGAAUAUUGGACAAUGGGCGAAAGCCUGAUCCAGCAAUUCCGCGUGUGUGAAGAAGGCCUUCGGGUUGUAAAGCACUUUAGUGGGGGAAGAAACAGCUUGGCCACACCAAGCCUUGACGGUACCCCAAGAAUAAGCACCGGCUAACUCUGUGCCAGCAGCCGCGGUAAUACAGAGGGUGCAAGCGUUAAUCGGAUUUACUGGGCGUAAAGGGUGCGUAGGUGGCUAUUUAAGUCGGAUGUGAAAGCCCGGGGCUCAACCUCGGAAUUGCAUUCGAUACUGAGUGGCUAGAGUUCGGUAGAGGGCGGCGGAAUUUCCGGUGUAGCGGUGAAAUGCGUAGAUAUCGGAAGGAACAUCAAUGGCGAAGGCAGCCGCCUGGGCCUGGACUGACACUGAGGCACGAAAGCGUGGGUAGCAAACAGGAUUAGAUACCCUGGUAGUCCACGCCGUAAACGAUGAGAACUUGACGUUGGUUCGUUUUACGAAUCGGUGUCGCAGCUAACGCGAUAAGUUCUCCGCCUGGGGAGUACGGCCGCAAGGUUGAAACUCAAAGGAAUUGACGGCUUGAGAGNGCGAGNGACGACGAGGAGAG
rnacentral:rRNA from 1 species